GCACGCAGCUCAUCGGUAGCUGCACGGGUGCACGGCGUCGCAUUGCGACCUGCGGCAUUUUCUCGUGUUCGCGCAAUCGGUGUGAAACAUGUCGCAUGUGAAAUAUUUGAUAGAAGUGCCUCACGUCCAAGUCGAGCCGCCGUACGGGUGUAAGGCUGUGUGCCCCGUUCUCGGAAGCGUCGACGGGUUUCCGGCAUGCGGAUUUCAGCGUUUGGACUCGACUUUUGGUGAAGAUGUCGAUCGACCUUGGGCCUGGUGACAGCACACCCGACAUGGCCAAAGUGCAGUCUAUCAGUUGAGUGCCCCCGAAUGGACCAUCAACAUCGGAAAAUGAAACAGAGCCAGGGGGAAAAGGUUCCGGUAACACCAUGCAUUCAGUAUGGUGGCCCAGACGUGUAUGCAAGCAAUCUCCUUCAUGUGGACCAAGAACUACUCUGCAGUGUCUCGCAGACUUCCAUGCGAAGUCCUCAACAUUCUCGUCUCAGUGGAAUGGCUGCUCAUCUAUCUGCGUGUCCAUCACCAAGACGGCCAGUUGUAAAGCUCCUGUACCUGUUUAAGAAAGCUUAAUGAUUUUUUUAUUUAGUUUUCACGGUUGGCCAUAGAAUCUUAACAUUUUUGAUGUUUAUAACAUUUUUACCUGGCACAAAGUGGUGCAAUAACUUUAAACCAGUGUAAUGUAUUUAAGUGAUGCUCACUCUAAUGCCUAUCUGGUUUUGUUAGUGUUUAAGAAAUUUGUAUGUCUGAUGAGGUAACAACAUUUGAAUUUGUCAUCGUGGCUCGUUUCAAUGAGCUGCUAGGAAAAAAGUCGCAAAACUUAUCACACGCCAGUUGUAGCAUUUUUGUUUUCAUGACUAUAGUAUACACGUUUCAAAAGAUGGAAAGUGGGGAAAAAAACCUGAAGAACAUAAUCAUCCUAGGAUUGUCAUGUCCUUACAACUCCGCAAUGAUAAUGCCUCAUACAUCUUGGGAGCACAUUGGUCACAAUUCCUACAGGUAUACUUGAUAAGAGAAUAGCUUGCACCCAGAUUUGCCACACAGUUGAUGGCUGAUGGCUUUUGUUUGUCGUCUUCAUGCUACUACUGUGUAUUCAAUAUUCAUUUAGAUGUAAAGGACACUAGAGGCACUGAAGUACCAAAUGGCACUUGCAUUUCAGGGGACAAAGUGCCCAGCAUGCCUGUCACAAAACGUGUUCUAGGGGCUACCUUGCCUCUAUAGGUAAAUGGAUACCAGAUGCUCUGUGUACAGUGUAAUCGGUGUACUUGUCUGGAGUGCUUGAAAGAUGUGCUACGGGCUGUACUGGCACUGUCUGAAGAUAAUGCAUGGUUCUAGAAAGCCUGCAGCUGAGCAUCUGCCACCAUACUGAAGGAACUGUCCUAAUUUUGUUGUUGAAAUGUAGGAGCUGCAAUGAAUAGUUGUGAAUGUGUGCUCCGAAUCUUUUAAUGUGGAAUGCCUUGAUUAUUUCCCGUGUGGUUUGACAUUUGUCUCGAAAGAAUUUUUGUGUCUUCAAACAAAGGUUUGCAACCGCAAUUGAAACAAUGUGAUGCUAGAUGUGAAGCAUUAGGGUUGUAAAGUGAAUGUUUGUUUUCUUUUAGUCUAAUAAUAAUGCACCUGCCGCUCUGUACAAUGUAAGUCUUCCCUCACUUGAGAGGAUACUGAUAAACUAUACCAGUGUUACAGGGCACAAAAAGGGAGACAUGUCUAACGCCGCAAUUAUCUUUUCUGUUUUGCCACCCUGUUCAAGUUUCCUAUUUAUCAUAGGCACAUGAUAGACAACUUGCGGUGCCGAGAAAACUUUAUCCACAUCAUAUGUAUUGGCCACGUUCCAUAAACCAUCUGAUAAUCUAUGUAUAUAGGGCACCACAGCAAACCUUCUUUUUCUGUUUUUCUUGUUUCUUAGCCUGGCCUUUUACCCACUUUAAAAGCUUUUUGCAGGUUAGUGAUAAUAAAUGCACAGGAUAACUAGCCUUUUCGAGCCUAUUUGUUGUGAAAAACUGUUUCAUAUUGUGUGGACAUGACUAGCUUACUCAGCUCUUAAGUUUGCCAUUACUAAUGUCCGCACAAUAUGAAACAAAGUUUUUCACAACAAAUAGAUAGAGAGGCAUUCCACAUUAAAAGAUUGGGAGAGACUUACAUUAGCCAUGCAUCUUUGUCUCUGUUAGGAUGCGAAUUUCAGUAUCUUCAGAACACGUGUGUUAAUCUGAAGUAGUCUUUUUGUUGUUUCCUUUUUUACUUACUUCCUGAUAUGCUUAACUGAUAUCUUCAUACCUUGUCAUGUUCUUACGCUGCGGUUUUUUUGCAGUCACCCAUAUAUAUAUAUAUAUGUUCUUCGUUUCAAUAAAAAUUUAGUUGAGAGUUAGCGCUCAUCCUGGUCUGCUUCUAGUGUGUGUACGUGUCACUUCGCGCUACAAUCCAAGAUCAUGUUACUGUACCAACUCGCCCAACUUUCUAUCCUUGUGUUAACAUAGACACACUCAGACUUGUUCUUACUUAUGUGACCGGUUAUUUUUGUACUUUAUAAUAAGAUGCAGUGCUUUUCGAAUGAAAACAUGUGAUAGUUCGUAGCGAGAUUAUUUAAAAAAAACUUUUCUGCUUAAAAUUUAUUUGAACAAGCCUGUGGCAUUAUUCGGUGCUUAUGU